rnacentral:rRNA from 1 species
GGCAGCACAGGAGAGCUUGCUCUCUGGGUGGCGAGUGGCGGACGGGUGAGGAAUACAUCGGAAUCUACUCUGUCGUGGGGGAUAACGUAGGGAAACUUACGCUAAUACCGCAUACGACCUACGGGUGAAAGCAGGGGAUCUUCGGACCUUGCGCGAUUGAAUGAGCCGAUGUCGGAUUAGCUAGUUGGCGGGGUAAAGGCCCACCAAGGCGACGAUCCGUAGCUGGUCUGAGAGGAUGAUCAGCCACACUGGAACUGAGACACGGUCCAGACUCCUACGGGAGGCAGCAGUGGGGAAUAUUGGACAAUGGGCGCAAGCCUGAUCCAGCCAUACCGCGUGGGUGAAGAAGGCCUUCGGGUUGUAAAGCCCUUUUGUUGGGAAAGAAAUCCAGCUGGCUAAUACCCGGUUGGGAUGACGGUACCCAAAGAAUAGCACCGGCUAACUUCGUGCCAGCAGCCGCGGUAAUACGAAGGGUGGGUUCUUUACGUUGAAUUAAAGUACCAACACAUGCCUGGUUGGCGGUGACCUCCCUUAUGCAUUCAUUGCCUCUCGGGGACUUGCCCCGAAGCGGGAAAUAAGACGUGUUUACGUACCGCAUCCAAGUGUACCAAGAACUGUUUGAAGUUAGAGGGACUGCAUAGCGGGAUCUCUACCUGGUCGACCCCACCUUAGGGCCAAUGUUAGUUUGGUCGGGUCCAUCCUCCGCUUGGAAGUCCUCAGGAUUUUACAAGUAAUUGGUGCCAUGGAUCCGCUCCCGAUCCAAACUGAGUUCCCGGUCCCGGGGGAUUCCGAGUAGACCACCGUUUCAUCCCGAUUGACCCCACCUUCGGAGUUAGGUUUUUAUUCGAAACGGGGAACCUUUAAUUACCAGUCGGAAGAAAUUUAAACGGGGUGGUCUUUUGGAACUUCCACCCGGGUUAGGGCCUUGAUUUUUCCGGGAGGGGGUUUUACCCCCGGGGGUUCCCCCGGUUUUUUG